rnacentral:rRNA from 1 species
GACGAACGCUGGCGGCGUGCUUAACACAUGCAAGUCGUACGGUAAGGCCCUUUCGGGGGUACACGAGUGGCAAACGGGUGAGUAACACGUGAGUAACCUGCCCACAACUUUGGGAUAACGCUAGGAAACUGGUGCUAAUACUGGAUAUGUGCUCCUGCUGCAUGGUGGGGGUUGGAAAGCUCCGGCGGUUGUGGAUGGACUCGCGGCCUAUCAGCUUGUUGGUGGGGUAGUGGCCUACCAAGGCGGCGACGGGUAGCCGGCCUGAGAGGGUGACCGGCCACAUUGGGACUGAGAUACGGCCCAGACUCCUACGGGAGGCAGCAGUGGGGAAUAUUGCACAAUGGGCGCAAGCCUGAUGCAGCAACGCCGCGUGCGGGAUGACGGCCUUCGGGUUGUAAACCGCUUUCAGCAGGGACGAAGCUUUUUGUGACGGUACCUGCAGAAGAAGCACCGGCUAACUACGUG